GCAUUUGUAGCUCAGUUGGAAGAGCGCCGGACUUCGAAUCCGUAGGUCGCAGGUUCGAGCCCUGCCAGGUGCA
rnacentral:tRNA from 1 species